rnacentral:lncRNA from 1 species
ACCGUUCGUGAUUUAUCCCAAAGGAGGGGAAGGAAAUGAUCGAAGAAAACCUGAAGAGAAGGAAAAGACAAGGUCUCGCAACCAAAUCUUGGGUUCGAGAGUCGAUUAUGCGAAGGGAAGGUAUUAGCACCCCUACGCAUCCGUAGUAAUCUACGGGAUCCACUCUUGUUGUUCUCGUCUAAAGGGUGUGUGUUUAUCUAAGGUACUGUCUACUAAAAGGAAGGUUAAAAGAAAAUGAC